AUGCUCACUUCGGCAGCACAUAUACUAAAAUUAGAACAGUACAGAGAAGUUUAGCAUGGCUCCUGUGCAAGAAUGACACACAAAUUCAUGAAGUGUUAUAAAUGCAC